rnacentral:rRNA from 1 species
GGACUACUGGGGUAUCUAAUCCCGUUCGCUCCCCUAGCUUUCGCGUUUCAGCGUCAGGUGCAGUCCAGGUGGCCGCUUUCGCCACUGGUGUUCCUCCGGAUCUCUACGCAUUUCACCACUACACCCGGAAUUCCACCACCCUCUACUGCCCUCCAGUUCAGCAGUAUCGGACAACCUCCCCCGGUUGAGCCGAAGGAUUUCAUGCCCGACUUGCCAAACCGCCUGAACGCGCUUUACGCCCAGUAAAUCCGGAUAACGCUCGGAACCUACGUUUUACCGCGGCUGCUGGCAC